rnacentral:rRNA from 1 species
UUAAUUGAAGAGUUUGAUCAUGGCUCAGAUUGAACGCUGGCGGCAGGCCUAACACAUGCAAGUCGAACGGUAACAGGGAGCAGCUUGCUGCUCUGCUGACGAGUGGCGGACGGGUGAGUAAUGUCUGGGAAACUGCCUGAUGGAGGGGGAUAACUACUGGAAACGGUAGCUAAUACCGCAUAACGUCUACGGACCAAAGUGGGGGACCUUCGGGCCUCAUGCCAUCAGAUGUGCCCAGAUGGGAUUAGCUAGUAGGUGGGGUAACGGCUCACCUAGGCGACGAUCCCUAGCUGGUCUGAGAGGAUGACCAGCCACACUGGAACUGAGACACGGUCCAGACUCCUACGGGAGGCAGCAGUGGGGAAUAUUGCACAAUGGGCGCAAGCCUGAUGCAGCCAUGCCGCGUGUAUGAAGAAGGCCUUCGGGUUGUAAAG